rnacentral:rRNA from 1 species
CGGACGGGUGAGUAAUGUCUGGUAAACUGCCUGAUGGAGGGGGAUAACUACUGGAAACGGUAGCUAAUACCGCAUAACGUCGCAAGACCAAAGAGGGGACCUUCGGGCCUCUUGCCAUCAGAUGUGCCCAGAUGGGAUUAGCUAGUAGGUGGGGUAACGGCUCACCUAGGCGACGAUCCCUAGCUGGUCUGAGAGGAUGACCAGCCACACUGUAACUGAGACACGGUCCAG